UUUCAGCUGAUCAGUCCCAUAUAGGACUAAACUUAUGUCCUGAAU
rnacentral:hammerhead_ribozyme from 1 species